UGGAUUGUCCGAUAGUCUUGAACGCACCAUUCCUGAGGUGCGCUCAGAGCGGUGCUCUGUCGCUUUAAAUGACGUAAUAAGACAGGUGAAGUGGCAGCUGACGGAGGACCCGUAUGGACGCUGACUUGGAAGUUGUCGGACCUAACCGAGGACCCACUCCCAUGAACUUGUUUUAGAAACCAGCCGUAUCUUAUGUGAUCCAACACCAACAAAUCAAACUGAACUCAUACACGAAGCUUAGGCUCGUCGCUCUAAAAGCCGUCCGGUGCGAUCAGGCCGCCGGUGCCCCAGCAGGCCCGCGUACAGAUACAAGCAGAAUGGAGCUCACUUUUCUCUAAGGACCCCAGCAGGUCUCCCUCCUUUCCUUCUCCUACUUUAGGGAACAGGAGCAUGAAGGUAGACACAGACAACCGGGCUAACUCACAACAGCUCCUGUGAUCAGCCUGACAACAGCCUUAGGGCCCACACAUGGGCCCACACACAUACACACAGUCACAACAGAAAGACAUUUUAAAAAGGGACCAAAGAGGGGCCCAGGGCAGGAGCCCUGAGGCACUCCAACUUGGUGACACAGCAGCAGCAUUUCCCCUCCGUGCUACUGGUCGACGUAAGCACAACCUGGAAGCUGCUCCUCUCCUGUGUGCUGACUGAAACAAUGACUAGCCCCUCGCUCUCUAAUUUACAGGGAGUUGGCUCAUUCCUCUGAGUGGAAUGUACAGUGGGAGCAGCUUGCAUUUCAUGACAGGGUGGAGAGAUCCAUGAUGAGGUGGGGUGGUUUGAGUGGGGCUGGGUUGAGGGUGGGGUGAGUGAGUUUAUUUUUAUUUUUUAAAAAUGACAUGUCAUUUUAUGUUUGUUGUUUCAUGGUGUGCAGGGGUCAAGGAACAGAACACAGUAUCUGAUUUGUACUGUACUUGUUAAACUGUAGGGAGGUACAACCGGCUGUGUGGAACUUUGAGCGACCAAACCUGAUGUACAAAUCUACAGUUCCAUCUAAUACAUAGAUACAUUUUCUUUCAGAUAAUGAACUAUGUGAACAAAGGACAUAUUAAAAAAUGGAAACACUGACAUCCCUAUGAGAGCUGAUAGAAAUACCCAACAAACACCUGUGAUUGGGAGGACAUAAUCUGGAAGCUAUGGAGCCUUCCAUGUAGACAAAAAUGUAAGAAAACAACGUCACAAUCACUCAGAACCAUGUCACCUAACUACUUCAAUAGCCGACAGAAUGAUGCAGAAAGCCUUAUUUCAAUGAGCUGUUGCAAAGUCUGAAAAA